CACGAACGCUGGCGGCGUGCCUAAUACAUGCAAGUCGAGCGCAGGAAACUGACGGAACUCUUCGGAGGGAAGGCAGCGGAAUGAGCGGCGGACGGGUGAGUAACACGUAAGGAACCUGCCUCAAGGAUUGGGAUAACUCCGAGAAAUCGGAGCUAAUACCGGAUAGUUCAACGUACCGCAUGGUCCGCUGAGGAAAGGCGCUUCGGCGUCACCUUGAGAUGGCCUUGCGGUGCAGUAGCUAGUUGGUGGGGUAACGGCCCACCAAGGCGACGAUGCAUAGCCGACCUGAGAGGGUGAUCGGCCACACUGGGACUGAGACACGGCCCAGACUCCUACGGGAGGCAGCAGUAGGGAAUCUUCCACAAUGGACGAAAGUCUGAUGGAACAACGCCGCGUGAGUGAUGAAGGUUUUCGGAUCGUAAAACUCUGUUGUAAGGGAAGAACACGUACGAGAGGAAAUGCUCGUACCUUGACGGUACCUUACGAGAAAGCCACGGCUAACUACGUGCCAGCCGCCGCAGUAACAC
rnacentral:rRNA from 1 species